AGGCGCGUAGCUCAGCUGGUUAGAGCACCACCUUGACAUGGUGGGGGUCGUUGGUUCGAGUCCAAUCGCGCCUA
rfam:Variovorax sp. WDL1 contig_246, whole genome shotgun sequence.